GACGAACGCUGGCGGCGUGCUUAACACAUGCAAGUCGAACGGAAAGGCCCUGCUUUUGUGGGGUGCUCGAGUGGCGAACGGGUGAGUAACACGUGAGUAACCUGCCCUUGACUUUGGGAUAACUUCAGGAAACUGGGGCUAAUACCGGAUAGGAGCUCCUGCUGCAUGGUGGGGGUUGGAAAGUUUCGGCGGUUGGGGAUGGACUCGCGGCUUAUCAGCUUGUUGGUGGGGUAGGGGCUUACCAAGGCUUUGACGGGUAGCCGGCCUGGGAGGGUGACCGGCCACCUUGGGACUGAGAUACGGACCAGACUCCUACGGGAGGCAGCAGUGGGGAAUAUUGCACAAUGGGCGGAAGCCUGAUGCAGCAACGCCGCGUGCGGGAUGACGGCCUUCGGGUUGUAAACCGCUUUCGCCUGUGACGAAGCGUGAGUGACGGUAAUGGGUAAAGAAGCACCGGCUAACUACGUG
rnacentral:rRNA from 1 species